GUCUGACUUCAGAUCGGACAGUUUCAUAUAUACGAUCAGAGGUAUCAGAUCCCAAGUUAUCUACUUGGGAUGCCUGCAUUAAACAAGAUCAGAGGUAUCAGAUCCCAAAUUAUUUCUACUGGUAUGCCUGAUUUAAACAAGUGAAAGCGACAACUAUACUUACAAUGUUCAAUCAAUAGCAACGACAACAAAGAAAACCGAUCCACAACAGGAUUUUACAUAAGAAGAACGAAUGAUAUCCAAGAUCAGUUAUCACAAUGCUC
rnacentral:lncRNA from 1 species